rnacentral:rRNA from 1 species
UACAGAGGGUGCAAGCGUUGCUCGGAAUCAUUGGGCGUAAAGGGCAAGUAGGUGGUCUCAUUUGUCUUGUGUGAAAUCCUUGGGCUUAACUCAAGAAGUGCGCAAGAAACGGUGAGACUCGAGUUCUGGAGAGGGUCGUGGAAUUCCCGGUGUAGCGGUGAAAUGCGUAGAGAUCGGGAGGAACACCAGAGGCGAAGGCGGCGACCUGGACAGAUACUGACACUCAACUGCGAAAGCGUGGGGAGCGAACAGG